GUCCUCAUAGUUCAACGGAUAGAACGGCCCCCCCCUAAGGGGCAGAUCUAGGUCCAAUUCCUAGUGGGGACA
rnacentral:tRNA from 1 species